UAGGGAAUCUUCGGCAAUGGGGGGAACCCUGACCGAGCAACGCCGCGUGAGUGAAGAAGGUUUUCGGAUCGUAAAGCUCUGUUGUUAAGGAAGAACGAGUGUGAGAAUGGAAAGUUCAUACUGUGACGGUACUUAACCAGAAAGGGACGGCUAACUACGUGCCAGCAGCCGCGGUAAUACGUAGGUCCCGAGCGUUGUCCGGAUUUAUUGGGCGUAAAGCGAGCGCAGGCGGUUAGAUAAGUCUGAAGUUAAAGGCAGUGGCUCAACCAUUGUAGGCUUUGGAAACUGUUUAACUUGAGUGCAGAAGGGGAGAGUGGAAUUCCAUGUGUAGCGGUGAAAUGCGUAGAUAUAUGGAGGAACACCGGUGGCGAAAGCGGCUCUCUGGUCUGUAACUGACGCUGAGGCUCGAAAGCGUGGGGAGCGAACAGA
rnacentral:rRNA from 1 species